AAAUUGAAGAGUUUGAUCAUGGCUCAGAUUGAACGCUGGCGGCAGGCCUAACACAUGCAAGUCGAACGGUAACAGGAAGCAGCUUGCUGCUUCGCUGACGAGUGGCGGACGGGUGAGUAAUGUCUGGGAAACUGCCUGAUGGAGGGGGAUAACUACUGGAAACGGUAGCUAAUACCGCAUAAUGUCGCAAGACCAAAGAGGGGGACCUUCGGGCCUCUUGCCAUCGGAUGUGCCCAGAUGGGAUU
rnacentral:rRNA from 2 species